rnacentral:rRNA from 1 species
UACGUAGGGUGCAAGCGUUGUCCGGAAUUAUUGGGCGUAAAGCGCUCGUAGGCGGUCUGUUGCGUCGGCUGUGAAAACCCGGGGCUCAACCCCGGGCCUGCAGCCGAUACGGGCAGACUAGAGUUCGGCAGGGGAGACUGGAAUUCCUGGUGUAGCGGUGAAAUGCGCAGAUAUCAGGAGGAACACCGGUGGCGAAGGCGGGUCUCUGGGCCGAUACUGACGCUGAGGAGCGAAAGCGUGGGGAGCAAACAGG